UUUUUUUUUUUUUUUUCGGACACAAGCUGAUGACAACCUGAACAGAGCAUUUGUGAAAUAAGUGUUUAUGAGGUAGACACGUCUCUUUCCAUCUCUCUCACAAACAUUCCAGGCAGCCUUUCAUUUUAUAACUUUUACAUAUUGCAAAUGCAUCAUCUGCCAAUAUAAGAAACCAUUCACAUCCUACCUAUCCUAGCUAUUAUAUUCCACGGUGACAAACAUGAACUUUAAAUCUUUAUGAGUGCUUGAAAAACAUUCAUCAAACAUUCAAUAUAUUUUCCAAAGACAUGCUCAAACAUCCAAAUAAGAGUCUAUAGUCUUGCAGCAGAUAGAGGGUUAGUAUAAUUAAACUCCUAUGAAUUGUUUUAUUUAUUUUUCCUAAGUAAGUAACUGCUGAAAUGAGGGAGUGGUGGCUAUAACCUGUCUUUAUUUGUAUGUGUGUGUGUGUGUGUGAAUGGACCGUAGGUGCCACCUGGGUACUAAUGAGUGAGUAAUUAGGCUUUGGCACAUGCACAGACAGCCACACCUCGCUCCUUAGGACCCCAGCCACCAUAUGCUGCACCAGUUGGGAGCUCAACUUGCCAAGAACUCUAGAAGAAAGAGAAAACAUAAUCUCGAAGGGAGCGUCCAUUCAUCUUCAGCCUGGUCCCUGUCCUCUGGCUAAAAGGGAUAGCAAUAUUUCUGCCAGCGUCCAGCAGGGUGAAACUGUGUCAAGUUUUUAUUCAGCUCUGUCUGAUAAGAGCUUUUCUGCCAGAGCUGUGCAGAGGUUGAAGUGGAUGAUGAAGAGGCUGAGCAGGGGGUCUGGCAGCGCUGCAUCCCACACAGACGCCUCUCUUGUGGGCAUGCCGAGAGAGACAUGGCCCCCCGGAUGGAAGGUUGCUGGCAGUCUGGAGCUGGAACUGCAGAGGGAAAAGGCUCAUUCAUUAAUCUAACCUGUAUAUUUUCCAUCCUUGUCUCUUCUCCCCCCCACCCUUUCCCUCUUCUAAAUGUGUUUUAAAGGGAUUUAUUUGUGUGUGUGUGUGUGUGUGUGUGUGUGUGUGUGUGUGUGUGUGCGUGUGUGUGCGUAAUUUUGCCAUAUAAGUACUAUUUUAGGUUCUCCAAAUAACCUUUCAGUGAACAGUUCUUAAAAAAAGAACCUUUUGUGCAUUGAGAAGUUUCCUUAGAUAUUAAAUGUUCUUCAUGGAACCAUAACUUCCUAUAAGAGCCUUUAUUUUUGUGUGUAUGACUUUCUUCCCCAAAAGAAGACAUUUUGAUGAAUGUACUAGUCGUUUUUAUUAAGCAGUUACAAUGAAAUGGGACUGGUUCUUUUAAGCCUCUGAAAGGAGUCCACAUGAAUCCGAAUGCUAUAUUAUUAGCCAUUAAAUAGCUUUG